rnacentral:rRNA from 1 species
CAGGUGCUUGGCAUGGCUGUCCGUCAGCCUCCGUGUCGUGAAGAUGUUGGGUUAAGUCCCGCAACGAGCGCAACCCUUGUCCUUAGUUGCCAGCGAGUAAUGUCGGGAACUCUAAGGAGACUGCCGGUGACAAACCGGAGGAAGGUGGGGAUGACGUCAAGUCCUCAUGGCCCUUACGGCCAGGGCUACACACGUACUACAAUGGUCGGUACAGAGGGUUGCAAUACCGCGAGGUGGAGCCAAUCCCAGAAAGCCGAUCCCAGUCCGGAUCGAAGUCUGCAACUCGACUUCGUGAAGUCGGAAUCGCUAGUAAUCGCGGAUCAGCUAUGCCGCGGUGAAUACGUUCCCGGGCCUUGUACACACCGCCCGUCACACCAUGGGAGUGAGUUGCUCCAGAAGCCGUUAGUCUAACCGCAAGGAGG